ACUCCGAUAUCUCUACACCAUAGAUUUAAGACUCAUCUAUUCUAAAGAAGUGAUUGUGCAUCAAUCUUUCAGGAUCAAACACUGUCCCCGUGAUGAUCCUAUGAUCGAGAGUAAUUUAUAGAUAAAUUAUAGUAAUACAUGUCUUAAAUUUUCAACUCUUGAGAAAAUAUGUCAUUAUAUCCAUUAACUCAAUAGAUAAUUUAGAGAACUUAAUAACACAGAUCUGAAUG
rnacentral:lncRNA from 1 species